rnacentral:rRNA from 1 species
GACGAACGCUGGCGGCGUGCCUAACACAUGCAAGUCGAACGGAGUUAUUCCUUCGGGGAUAACUUAGUGGCGAACGGGUGAGUAACGCGUGAGAAACCUGCCUUUCAGUGGGGGACAACAGUUGGAAACGACUGCUAAUACCGCAUAAUGUUAUUUGGGGGCAUCCCCGAGUAACCAAAGAUUUAUUGCUGAAAGAUGGUCUCGCGUCUGAUUAGCUAGUUGGUGAGGUAACGGCUCACCAAGGCGACGAUCAGUAGCCGGUCUGAGAGGAUGAACGGCCACAUUGGGACUGAGAUACGGCCCAGACUCCUACGGGAGGCAGCAGUGGGGAAUAUUGGGCAAUGGGCGAAAGCCUGACCCAGCAACGCCGCGUGAAGGAAGAAGGCCCUCGGGUUGUAAACUUCUUUUACCAGGGACGAAGAAUGACGGUACCUGGAGAAAAAGCAACGGCUAACUACGUG